UGUUUUUGCAAAAUGUCUUCCAAAGUCCUUUUGUUGGGCUGGGAAGUUUGGCCUUCAUGAGAUGAUCAUUUCUGCUGGGGGAGUACAGCUCUGUGAGGUUCUGCUGAAAUUCAAGAAACUGCCUACAGCACACUACCAAAAAGGGUCACAUCUGUAUACGCACAGAAUACGCAAACCAGCCGGUUCACUAAAAUUUUGCCUACUAAAGAGUUCAAGUUUUACCUUCAGUGAACACACCACCUAUGAAUGUAUGAUGUCCCAGACCGUGACAGGAGAUGUAUCCAUCACAACUUUGCCCAACCAAGCCUCUCACCCUGGCCUGCUUAUUUUCUCUCCUUUCAGUGAAAUGCUAAUCACCCUAAAGGCUCCUCAUUAUUGA
rnacentral:lncRNA from 1 species